rnacentral:lncRNA from 1 species
GGGUGGAACUCUGUGGGUUCAAGACUGUCCUUAUCUAUACAGCAAGUUCCAGGACAACUAGGGCUAUAUAGUGAGAGACCCUCUUUCAAACAUAAAAAUCAGUGAAGACCUGGCCAUCAUGACUAAACAAUAAAACAUGAAAGGAAGGGCUGGUGAGAUGGCUCAGUGGGUAAGAGCACCCGACUGCUCUUCCGAAGGUCUGAAGUUCAAAUCCCAGCAACCACAUGGUGGCUCACAACCAUCUGUAACAAGAUCUGAUCUGACGCCCUCUUCUGGAGUGUCUGAAGACAGCUACAGUGUACUUACAUGUAAUAAAUAAAUAAAUCUUUAAAAAAAAAAAAAAAAAAAAAAAAAAAAAAACAUGAAAGGAAAAGACUUAAGAGUACUUGGGAGAAAAAAAAACACAGCCCAUCAAGUUGAAAUGCAAUGGGCUAGACACACAAUUUUGCAUUUAAAUUUUUAUAACACCAAUUCAUGGAAUAUUCUCAUUCUCUCUCUCUCUCUCUCUCUCUCUCUCUCUCUCUCUCUCUCUCUCACACACACACACACACAGAGAGAGAGAGACAGACACAUUUUCUUUUUGUGUGUAUGUACAGUAUGUGUAUAUAGAGACCUAAGGCUAAAGUCUUCCUGGAUUACACUCCACCUUACUGAGGCAAGAUCUCUCGGUGAAUACAGAGCUCCUGUAACCCAGUGCCUCUGCCUUCCAUGGAUUGCAGGUGGGUCCCCACAGCUACACAGCAUUUUCAUGGGUGAAUUCUGGUCCUCACAUUUACAAGUACUUUAUCUACCCGACCAUAUCUGCAGCCAUUUAUACCCUUUAUACACACAACCCCC